AUGUUGUGCCAGGAGGCAUGCAGCAUACGCCUUGAAGCUGAUAUUAACUCUGGAACCUCUGGGCUCCAGGGAAAAGCACAGCCUGCCUGACUUACCUUAAAAUUAUAGUGCCCUGGAGCUUCAUGUUAACACACAAAUCAUGCAACUGCAUCACAGCAAACACCACACCACCUAUGAGAAUAAUGCCAUGGAGGAAAAAUAUAAAAAGGUACUGGCAAAGGGUAAUGCUACAAACCAGGUAGCUCUGCAGCCUGCACUGAAGUUCACCAGCGAAGGCCAUAUCAAUCAGAGCAUUUUCUGGACAAACUUGAGUCCUAAUGGAAAACCCAAAUGGGAGUUGCUGGAAGCCAUCAAACGUGACUUUAGUUCCAUUGACAAGUUUAAGGAGAAAUUAACUGUAUCUGUUGGUGUGCAAUGUCCAGGUUGGAGUUGGCUUGGUUUCAAAAAGGAGCGGGGAUUCUUACAAAUUGCUUCUUGUUCCAAUCAGGACCCAUUACAAGGAACAACAGGUCAGAAUAACACUGCUGGGGAUUGAUGGGUGGGAGCAUGCAUACUACUUUUAUUAUAAAAAUGUCAGACUUGAUUAUCUAAAAGCAAUUUGGAGUGUAAUAUACUGGAAAAAUGUAACUGAAAGAUACAUGGCUUGCAAAAAAAUAAAACAUUAUAUUGAGUGGGUUAAGCUCUUUAUGAUUGUUUUUUAG